UUUUUUUUUUUUUUUUUUUUAAGAGAUUAAGAUAAGACUAGGUGAAGAUCUGACAUCGCAGAAUUCUUCAAGGAUAACACGCCUUUUCUGCCAAACGAGCACCCCCUGCAUUCUUAUCAUGGAUUGCUGUCAUUCAAGAAGUUAUCAUUUCCUCCCAUUGUGGCUGAGCUACACAUUCUCUUUGUUUUAUUUUAAACAUAAAAAAUCCAGAGGAGAUGGCACCUACGCUGGAAUCCAUACAAAUUCUUCGUAUGAAGAAAUCCUGAACGAGGGUCAAAGGUUGAGAUGAUGGGAACCUACGGUUCCAAGACUUUGAGAAUCCAUGUACAAUUUGAGCUUUUUUCAAAUCUCAACAUGGAACUUGGACUGAACAUGCAGAAAAAAGGGAAAAAAGUAGUUUCCACAAACUGGCACAUGGCAAGAGAUACUAAAAGCACACAAGUGUAGUUUAGUAUAGUUGUAUAGUAUAGUUUCAUAUUGAAAUGUGAGGCAUGAGUGCAUGAAUCUUUGUUUUUUUAUUUUCAAAUACUGUACAAGAAAGUAUUUUUUGCAGUACCAUGUCAAUUGUAGAUGCAGAUAAUUUAGCAUGAAUUAGAGGUUAGUAAUCUAACUUAAAGGGUUUGUUCACCCAAAAUGUUAUAUGAAAAAUCUUGUUUCAAUCCUGUUAGACUUUUGUUCAUUUUUGGAACACUAAUGAAGAUCCUUUUUAAUGAAAUCUGACAGCUAUACCUUAUUGGAACUUGAAAUGGUAGUUGUCAAUGGAGGGACAGAAAGCACAGAGAUUUCAUUAAAAAUACUCUUUGUUUGUGUUCCAAAGAUGAAUGAAAAUCUUAUGGAUUUGGAACGGUAUGAGGGUGAGUAACUGAUGACAGAAUUCACAUUUUUGGGUGAACUGUCCUUUUAAAUAAUAUUGUGUUCUACUAUAGGUUAAAUGGUGUAAACACUGGAACAUUUCACUUGACUAUUGACUGUAAGUCUAUAGCGAUUGUUAUUAAUGACAGCCCUGUCUUUGUAUUAAUUUUUUUUCCCCCAUGUAUUUGAAAAUAUUUUGAAUCUUGACUGUUUCGCAAUGAAGUUUAUCUUUGUGACAACUAUUUGGUGCAACACCAAUAUUGUAU